GACGAACGCUGGCGGCGUGCUUAACACAUGCAAGUCGAACGGUGAAGCUCCAGCUUGCUGGAGUGGAUCAGUGGCGAAAGGGUGAGUAACACGUGAGCAACCUGCCCCUGACUCUGGAAUAAGCGCUGGAAACGGCGUCUAAUACUGGAUACGAGAAGGGUCCGCAUGGGCACUUUCUGGAAAGUUUUUCGGUUGGGGAUGGGCUCGCGGCGUAUCAGCUUGUUGGUGAGGUAUUGGCUCACCAAGGCGACGACGGGUAGCCGGCCUGAGAGGGCGACCGGCCACGCUGGGACUGAGACACGGCACAGACUCCACCGGGAGGCAGCGGAGGGGAAUAGUGCACUAGGGGCUAAAGCCUGAUGCAGCGACGCCGCGUGGGGGAUGAGGGCCAGCGGGUUGUAAACCUCUUUCAGCAGGGAAGAAGCGAAAGUGACGGUACCUGCAGAAGAAGCACCGGCUAACUACGUG
rnacentral:rRNA from 1 species